UACGUAGGGUGCAAGCGUUAAUCGGAAUUACUGGGCGUAAAGCGUGCGCAGGCGGCUUUGCAAGACAGAUGUGAAAUCCCCGGGCUUAACCUGGGAACUGCAUUUGUGACUGCAUGGCUGGAGUGCGGCAGAGGGGGAUGGAAUUCCGCGUGUAGCAGUGAAAUGCGUAGAUAUGCGGAGGAACACCGAUGGCGAAGGCAGCCCCCUGGGUCGAGAUUGACGCUCAGGCACGAAAGCGUGGGGAGCAAACAGG
rnacentral:rRNA from 1 species